CCCUUAGAUGUUCUGGGCCGCACGCGUACUACACUGAGUGGAUCAGCGGGUCAGGUUGCGCGAAAGCGUUUCCUAAUCUUUAAAUCCGCUCGUGAUGGGGAUUGACGGUUGCAAUUUUCUGUCAUGAACGAGGAAUACCUUGUAAGCGCGGGUCAUCAUCCCGCGCUGAAUACGUCCCUGCCCUUUGUACACACCGCCCGUCGCUCCUACCGAUUGAGUGGUCCGGUGAGGCUUUGGGAUCUGAGCGGAAAGAGCGUUUCGCUGUUUCUGCUCGGAAAACUCAGUCGAACCUUAUCAUUUAGAGGAAGGAGAAGUCGUAACA
rnacentral:rRNA from 1 species